UCCGCAGGCGGGCAAGCAAGUCGGUGGUGAAAGCUCUUCGCUUAACGGAGAGAUUGCCAUCGAUACUGUUUGUCUUGAGUUCGAGAGAGGAUGAUGGAAUUCAUGGUGUAGCGGUGAAAUGCGUAGAGAUCAUGAAGAACACCGGUAGCGAAGGCGGUCAUCUGGCUCGAUACUGACGCUCAGGGACGAAAGCGUGGGUAGCAAACA
rnacentral:rRNA from 1 species